rnacentral:rRNA from 1 species
ACUCCUACGGGAGGCAGCAGUGGGGAAUAUUGGACAAUGGGCGCAAGCCUGAUCCAGCCAUGCCGCGUGAGUGAUGAAGGCCCUAGGGUUGUAAAGCUCUUUCACCGGAGAAGAUAAUGACGGUAACCGGAGAAGAAGCCCCGGCUAACUUCGUGCCAGCAGCCGCGGUAAUACGAAGGGGGCUAGCGUUGUUCGGAUUUACUGGGCGUAAAGCGCACGUAGGCGGACUAUUAAGUCAGGGGUGAAAUCCCGGGGCUCAACCCCGGAACUGCCUUUGAUACUGGUAGUCUUGAGUUCGAGAGAGGUGAGUGGAAUUCCGAGUGUAGAGGUGAAAUUCGUAGAUAUUCGGAGGAACACCAGUGGCGAAGGCGGCUCACUGGCUCGAUACUGACGCUGAGGUGCGAAAGCGUGGGGAGCAAACAGGAUUAGAUACCCGGGUAGUCCCAUGAU